AUGAAAUGUCUAACAAUGAUUGGU
rnacentral:siRNA from 1 species